AAUUUCAUGUUUUGAUGUCUAUGAAUUUAUUAAUAUUCAUAAACAACCAAAAAUUACAAAUUACGAAUCCUAAAUCCACAAUAUUUUUGUAAUUUGUAAAUUUUUUAAAGAUGUGAAUUUUAUCCUUAAAUUAUUAUAUUUCUCUAUGUUAUAAAACUAAACUAAAAUCACAAAAAACGAAGGAGAUCGAACUUGUUGUGGGUAUCCGAAGAAAACAGAAAAAAGAAGUUAAAAAAAUAAAAGAUAAGAGAGAAAAUU
rnacentral:lncRNA from 1 species